rfam:Planctomycetes bacterium GWA2_40_7 gwa2_scaffold_12489, whole genome shotgun sequence.
GAAGCAGGCAAGAUGGCCGCUGCAUAGACCACAAAUAUGUGUGUAGUCUAUGAAGAGGAAAGUCCGAGCUCCAUAGGAUACAGUGCUCCGUAACACGGAGUGGGAGUGAUCCCAAGGAAAGUGCCACAGAAAACAUACCGCCCUGUGAGAUAAUUUAUCCAUUUAUCUCACAGGGUAAGGGUGAAAAGGCGGGUCCGCUGAUUAAUGUGGAUUAAAGUAAGAGCCCACCGCUCUCCGGGUGACCGGAAAGGCAUGGUAAACCCCACUGGGAGAAAGGCUCAAUAGAGAGGAAUAAAGUGAUCCGCUUUUUAAACCUCCGGGUAAGCCGCUUGAUUCCGGUGGUAACAUCGGAACUAGAUUAAUGGUCAUCAAAAACAGAACUCGGCUUAUAGCCUGCUACUGAU